UCUUAUUUACAAGGGGACAGAUAAACAUGCUGAAAUUGUUAAGGUAGAACCUGAGAAAAAGGAGGAAGAGAAACCUAAGGAAGGAAAAGAAGAGGCAAAAGCCGAUGGUGGCGGCGAAAAGGGGAGCAAGAAAGGUGAAGAUGAUGGCAAAAAACCCGAAAAGGAAGACGGUGCACCGCCUCUGGCUGGCGGCAGCGUCGGUGAAGAUCAGCCGCCGAAACAAGAAGCUGGACAAGAAGGAGGUGAUCCUAAAUUGGAAAUGAAGAAGAAUGAUUUCUACUAUUAUCAUCCACAAAACCAUCAUCAGAAUGAUUUCUACUAUUAUCAUCCACAGAACAAUCAGCAGCUUCAUCAUCCAGCCUAUGUUCAAGAAUCUUAUGGAUAUCCAGCGUAUCCUCCACAGAUGUUCAGUGAUGAGAACCCUCAUGCAUGCUCUGUAAUGUAAAUGAUGAGAAAGACGAGGGGUAAAAUUGGGAGGGACGUUGCACAUGGGGUUGGAAUGUCCAUGGCCCCCUUCAUCCUUGACACCUUGAUGUGCUCCACAUGUGGCCCUGUCUGG
rnacentral:lncRNA from 1 species